CGCGGCCGGGACGCAAAGGUGGGGAGAAGGGAUUGCUCUCUGAUAACUCGGUUUGGGUUUGCCUCCUUUGGGGGGAAUUGAAGCAAAAGCGAGCCAAAGUUAAGACCAAAGGGUAGGGUAGGCUCUCGACUGUUCCCGAGCUUUGCUCUCCAGAAGAGCUCGGGGCUCCAUGGGCAGCUCUCUGUGGGAGGUAGAGCAGCCUCUGGGCUGCUCCGAUUUACACCCACCUGUCCCAAGCCUCCUUUGUGUGUCCAAGUCCCUUUGGGCUUGACUCUCUGUACGGGGAGAGAAAGACGGCAUAAAGGGAAAAUUCACCCCUGAGCAAAGGGCCAACAAGAGCCUUGUGCCUGAAAGACGGGUGGAUGUGGGGCUUGAGUUUUGUACCAGAUAUCACUCAGACUGGUGGGAAAGAGAAAAUUCAUGCAGACAGUGGAAAAAAAUAUUUGUGCAGCUUACGGAGAGACAUCCAGGGGGACUGAGCUGUUGCUGGAAGGAACCUCUGACUCCAGCUUGCCUCAUCCGUUUGGGAAGCGGCGUAAGUCUAUCCUAAGCCACCUGGCUUUGGGAAGGAGGUUGCCUUUCUCUGCACCUUCCCUCUAACUCUUAACAGCUUUUAAUAAAAUUCUGGUAACUUG